rnacentral:rRNA from 1 species
GAAACUGCGUACGGCUCAUUACACCAGCCUUAAUUUACUUGACCUUGACAACCUACUUGGAUAACUGUGGUAAUUCUAGAGCUAAUACAUGCACCAAAGCUCCGAUCCUCGCGGAGAGGAGCGCAUUUGUUCGCCACAAAACCAAGCGCCCAUCUGGGCGUCCAGUGCUGAACCAGAACAACUCAGCUGAUCGCACGGUCUUGUACCGGCGACGUGUCUUUCAAGUGUCUGCCUUAUCAACUUUCGAUGGUAGUGUACCUGACUACCAUGGUUGUGACGGGUAACGGAGGAUAAGGGUUCGACUCCGGAGAAGGGGCCUGAGAAAUGGCCACUACGUCUAAGGAUGGCAGCAGGCGCGCAAAUUACCCACUCUCAACGCGAGGAGGUAGUGACGAGAAAUAACGAGACCGUUCUCAUACGAGGCCGGUUAUUGGAAUGGGUACAAUUUAAACCCUUUAACGAGUAUCUAUGAGAGGGCAAGUCUGGUGCCAGCAGCCGCGGUAAUUCCAGCUCUCAAAA